GACAGAGGCCUCAAGCGUUAGGCGGAAUCACUGGGCUUAAAGCGUGUGUAGGCGGAUGCCUAAGUACCUUGUGAAAUCCCACGGCUCACCCGUGGAACUGCUGGGUAUACUGGGUGUCUUGGGCCGAUCAGGGGCAGCUGGAACAAGCGGUGGAGCGGUGAAAUGCGUAGAUAUCGCUUGGAACGCCAAAGGUGAAAACAGGCUGCUGGGGUUGUGCCGACGCUGAGACACGAAAGCCAGGGGAGCAAACGGG
rnacentral:rRNA from 1 species